rnacentral:rRNA from 1 species
CUCGCACGAGUUCAGACUCGUGGCGAAUAGCUCAGUAACACGUGGCCAAACUACCCUUCGGAACACAAUACCCUCGGGAAACUGAGGCUAAUAGUGUAUACCAUACCACCACUGGAAUGAGUGGUAUGCCAAACGCUCCGGCGCCGAAGGAUGUGGCUGCGGCCGAUUAGGUAGACGGUGGGGUAACGGCCCACCGUGCCAAUAAUCGGUACGGGUCAUGAGAGUGAGAACCCGGAGACGGAAUCUGAGACAAGAUUCCGGGCCCUACGGGGCGCAGCAGGCGCGAAACCUUUACACUGCACGACAGUGCGAUAGGGGGAUCCCAAGUGCACAGGCAUAGCGCCUGUGCUUUUCGGUACCGUAAGGUGGUACCAGAAUAAGGGCUGGGCAAGACCGGUGCCAGCCGCCGCGGUAAUACCGGCAGCCCAAGUGAUGGCCGAUCUUAUUGGCCCUAAAGCGUCCGUAGCUGGCCGCGCAAGUCCAUCGGGAAAUCCACCUGCUCAACAGGUGGGCGCCCGGUAGAAACUGCGUGGCUUGGGACCGGAAGGCGCGACGGGUACGUCCGGGGUAGGAGUGAAAUCCCGUAAUCCUGGACGGACCGCCGAUGGCGAAAGCACGUCGCGAGAACGGAUCCGACAGUGAGGGACGAAAGCCAGGGUCUCGAACCGGAUUAGAUACCCGGGUAGUCCUGGCCGUAAACAAUGCCUGCUAGGUGUGGCUCCCACUACGAGUGGGUGCUGUGCCGUAGGGAAGCCGCUA